GGCUUCGUGGCCGAGCGGUAAAGACAUUUGCCUCUCACCCUGAAGUCCUGGGUUCACGAUCCCGGUCGAGAGGCUG